CCUACGGGAGGCAGCAGUGGGGAAUAUUGGACAAUGGGCGCAAGCCUGAUCCAGCCAUGCCGCGUGUGUGAAGAAGGCCUUCGGGUUGUAAAGCACUUUUGUUGGGAAAGAAAAGCGGUCGGUUAAUACCCGGUCGUUCUGACGGUACCCAAAGAAUAAGCACCGGCUAACUUCGUGCCAGCAGCCGCGGUAAUACGAAGGGUGCAAGCGUUACUCGGAAUUACUGGGCGUAAAGCGUGCGUAGGUGGUUUGUUAAGUCAGAUGUGAAAGCUCCGGGCUCAACCUGGGAAUUGCAUUUGAUACUGGCAGACUAGAGUGCGGUAGAGGAGAGUGGAAUUCCCGGUGUAGCAGUGAAAUGCGUAGAGAUCGGGAGGAACAUCAGUUGCGAAGGCGGCUCUCUGGACCAGCACUGACACUGAGGCACGAAAGCGUGGGGAGCAAACAGGAUUAGAUACCCUGGUAGUCCACGCCCUAAACGAUGCGAACUGGACGUUGGGAUCAAUUGAGAUUUCAGUGUCGAAGCUAACGCGUUAAGUUCGCCGCCUGGGGAGUACGGUCGCAAGACUGAAACUCAAAGGAAUUGACCG
rnacentral:rRNA from 1 species